GAUGAGAACGCAGCGAAAUGCGAUAAGUAAUGUGAAUUGCAGAAUUCAGUGAAUCAUCGAAUCUUUGAACGCACAUUGCGCCCGCCAGUAUUCUGGCGGGCAUGCCUGUCUGAGCGUCAUUUCAACCCUCAUGCCCCUAGGGCGUGGUGUUGGGGAUCGGCCAAAGCCCGCGAGGGACGGCCGGCCCCUAAAUCUAGUGGCGGACCCGUCGUGGCCUCCUCUGCGAAGUAGUGAUAUUCCGCAUCGGAGAGCGAUGAGCCCCUGCCGUUAAACCCCCAACUUUCCAAGGUUGACCUCAGAUCAGGUAGGAAUACCCGCUGAACUUAAGCAUAUCAAUAAGCGGAGGA
rnacentral:misc_RNA from 1 species